UUUCCGUAGGUGAACCUGCGGAAGGAUCAUUAUUGUAUAACCGAGGCGCGAGGGCUGUCGCUGACCCGAAAGGUCGUGCACGCCCGAGUGCCCUCACACACAUCCAUCUCACCCCUAUGUGCACCACCGCGUGGGUCCCCCUUUGGCUUGUUCGGAGGGGGGCUUACGCUUUCACACAAACUUUGUAUGCAGUGUAGAAUGUAUUUUUUGUUUUUGCGAUCACGCAAUCAAUACAACUUUCAACAACGGAUCUCUUGGCUCUC
rnacentral:misc_RNA from 1 species